rnacentral:lncRNA from 1 species
UCCUUGUGAGAUGGAGAACGCUGGGGGACCAAGGAGAGAAAAAGGAGCUCCCCAGAAGACAACAAGCAAAACUAAGCGACCUCACAUCCCCUAAAAGGAUGGGUUUCCAAGGCCAUGGCAGUGGUUUUGCUAAGCCUGCUCAGACAGAAACAUUCUUCCUCUGUCACGUGGAUGUUGUUUUAUUACAUCCACCUCAGAAACGUACGUGCUGCCAUUCACAGCAACAGCAUGGACAGGAGCACGCAGCUCACUCCCUUGGAGAAGCCUGUUAGCAGCACCAGAUCGAGGUUUCGGUUUUCCUGACCUGUGACAAAUCAGCAUGAGCCUCAGCUGAAAGCAAGAGCCAAGAAAGAAAGAGUAGAGGAAGACACAGACACACGCACACAAAAAGAAAAAGCAAGAAACAGGUUUCAGCAAGGUUGCUCUGCCUCAAUCUCU